AACGAACGCUGGCGGCAGGCCUAACACAUGCAAGUCGAACGCGCGUAGCAAUACGCGAGUGGCGCACGGGUGAGUAACACGUGGGAACCAACCCAGAGGUUCGGAAUAACCGCGGGAAACUGCGGCUAAUACCGGAUAUCCCCUACGGGGGAAAGAUUUAUCGCCUCUGGACGGGCCCGCGUCCGAUUAGCUAGUUGGUGAGGUAAUGGCUCACCAAGGCGACGAUCGGUAGCUGGUCGAGAGGACGACCAGCCACACUGGAACUGAGACACGGUCCAGACUCCUACGGGAGGCAGCAGUGGGGAAUAUUGGGCAAUGGAGGCAACUCUGACCCAGCCAUGCCGCGUGGGUGACAAAGGUCUUCGGAUUGUAAAGCCCUUUCGGCGGGACGACGGUGACGGUACCCGCAGAAGAAGCCCCGGCUAACUUCGUG
rnacentral:rRNA from 1 species